GUGAGGGGCUGGACCCAAGGAGGGAGGGGGAGAGAACAGGGGAAUGCGCGCCCCAGGAGCGAAAGCAAACAGCUCGCUGUGGAGGCGCUGCCUGCGGCUCAGGCUUCCCAACAGGUUAGCAAGACAAGGAUCCACCCGGCAUUUCGCAGGAAGGGGGGGGGGGGAGCAGAGCGAGAAGGGAAGAGAGCCUUGAUAGAGGACAGAGGGCGGGAGGGAACAAG
rfam:Oryctolagus cuniculus chromosome 2, whole genome shotgun sequence.